rnacentral:rRNA from 1 species
GUGGGGAAUAUUGGACAAUGGGCGAAAGCCUGAUCCAGCCAUGCCGCGUGUGUGAAGAAGGUCUUCGGAUUGUAAAGCACUUUAAGUUGGGAGGAAGGGCAGUAAGUUAAUACCUUGCUGUUUUGACGUUACCGACAGAAUAAGCACCGGCUAACUUCGUGCCAGCAGCCGCGGUAAUACGAAGGGUGCAAGCGUUAAUCGGAAUUACUGGGCGUAAAGCGCGCGUAGGUGGUUUUGUAAGUUGGAGGUGAAAUCCCCGGGCUCAACCUGGGAACUGCCUCCAAAACUGCAUGACUAGAGUACGGUAGAGGGUAGUGGAAUUUCCUGUGUAGCGGUGAAAUGCGUAGAUAUAGGAAGGAACACCAGUGGCGAAGGCGACUACCUGGACUGAUACUGACACUGAGGUGUGAAAGCGUGGGGAGCAAACAGGAUUAGAAACCCGUGUAGUCC